GCAAAAGAGUAGCCGUUUUGGGAAGCUGCUAGCUGACGGGGUUGCAAGUCAUGAAGGCGACAAAUGGGCAAAGCACCGAAGAAUCCUCAAUCCUGCCUUUCACCAUGAGAAGAUAAAGGUACCUGUUCAAUGAAAUUUUGCAGCAGCAAGGGUGAUGUAGGAUAAUGCACUCUUUGUAUUUUCAUUGAUUAAAAUUAAGUUAUAUACAGAACAAAAGAAAACAAACUCUUUGUGUAGAUUGAUAAGUGAUAAGUAAUGUUUCAUUUUGCAGAGGAUGCUGCCUGUAUUUUCUGCCUGUUGCGAAGAAAUGAUUACAAGAUGGGAGAAUUCCAUGCCUACUGGAGGAUUAUGUGAGAUUGACGUGUUUCCUGAGUUCCAGAAUCUAACUGGAGAUGUCAUCUCGAGAACAGCAUUUGGUAGCAAUUAUCAGGAGGGAAUGAAAAUAUUCCAGCUGCAAGGGGAGUUAUGUGAACGGCUAAUACAGGCUUUUCAGACACUUUUUAUCCCAGGCUAUUGGUAAGUUGUUUUCUUACACAAGCUGAUAUCAUUUCAAGCAGCAAAUAAGUAGUAGAAAAUAGUAGCUGAUUUCAUACAGGCUUUUAAAUGAAAGAGUUUAUUGAAGAAAAUAGUAGGCUGAUCAAAGAAAAAUUUGUCUUUUUGAUGGUAAACUUAAACAGCAGCAAUCAAGAUUUUCUUUCCUAUGCUGACAUGUCAGACCAUUUGCAGGUUCUUACCAACAAAAAACAACAGAAGGAUGAGAGCAAUUGAUCGUGAAAUCCGCAUGAUUCUACGAGGCAUUAUUGGGAAAAAAGAAAGAGCAAUUAAAAACAAUGAAGCUAGCAGCGAUGAUUUGCUAGGAUUGCUGUUGGAGUCAAAUAUGCAACAAGCAAAUGGGAAAGCAAAUCUUGGAAUGAGUAUUGAAGAUAUAAUUGAGGAAUGCAAGCUAUUUUACUUUGCAGGUAUGGAGACAACAUCAGUCUUGCUCACAUGGACAUUAAUUGUGCUAAGCAUGCACCCAGAGUGGCAAGAGCAGGCAAGGGAGGAAGUGUUGCAUCACUUUGGAAGAACCAGACCAGAUUUUGAGAACUUGAGUCGCCUGAAGAUUGUAAGUGUGAAAUUGAUGCCUUGUGCACAUUUUGCAGUGAAAACAAAUACUCAGGAAUUGAAAGGAUUUUUUCCAGGAUGAUGUGAUGUUUUAAGUCUAGAAUGGCCGGAGUAAUGUUCUUGAUAUUGUGUAUUGUUUUGCAGGUAACCAUGAUUUUGUACGAGGUUCUUAGGUUGUACCCGCCAGCAAUCUUCCUUGCGAGAAGAACUUACAAGGCAAUGGAGCUUGGUGGCAUCAGAUAUCCGGCAGGGGUGAACCUUAUGUUGCCCCUUAUCUUUAUCCACCAUGAUCCCGAUAUUUGGGGAAAAG
rnacentral:lncRNA from 1 species